rnacentral:lncRNA from 1 species
CUUUGUUCUCCAUAGAAUGUCUACUAGAGUCCUUUUAGCCACUCUUUCCAUCCCUAUUACUCCUGAGCGUACGGAUAUUGCUCGACUUCUGGAUAUGGAUGGCAUUAUAGUUGAAAAACAGCGUCGCCUUGCAACACUACUAGGUCUUCAAGCCCCACCGACACGAAUUGGCCUUAUUAAUGAUAUGGUUAGUAUUAAUUUGAGGAUUUUUGUAGCUUUGGGCAGAAAACUUUGUGGUCAGGUUUAAUAACUUAUGAUCACUGUUCACUUGAGGUAGUUCCGCCCCAGUGGGUGAGCAGGGGUUAAAUUGGUGGGAGUUUUGAUCUAGCAGGACUUGGGUUGGCUCUGGGGAAUACCGUGGGCCAGUCAGUAAGAGAAAAAGUAAUGAUGGGCAAGAAGAGUCAUGGCUUAUUUCAUGGGGGCUCUAGGAAAAC